rfam:Candidatus Roizmanbacteria bacterium RIFCSPHIGHO2_02_FTLL_40_9 rifcsphigho2_02_scaffold_34442, whole genome shotgun sequence.
GUUCUCGUAGCUCAACGGAUAGAGCAGCCGCCUCCUAAGCGACCGAUGGCAGUUCAAUUCUGCCCGAGAACA